rnacentral:rRNA from 1 species
AUUGAACGCUGGCGGAAUGCUUUACACAUGCAAGUCGAACGGCAGCACGGACUUCGGUCUGGUGGCGAGUGGCGGACGGGUGAGUAAUGUAUCGGAACGUGCCCAGUCGUGGGGGAUAACGUAGUGAAAAUUACGCUAAUACCGCAUACGAUCUAUGGAUGAAAGCGGGGGAUCGCAAGACCUCGCGCGAUUGGAGCGGCCGAUAUCAGAUUAGGUAGUUGGUGGGGUAAAGGCCCACCAAGCCAACGAUCUGUAGCUGGUCUGAGAGGACGAGCAGCGCAACUGGAACUGAUACACGGUACAGACUCCUACGGGAGGCAGCAGUGGGGAAUUUUGGACAAUGGGCGAAAGCCUGAUCCAGCCAUUCCGCGUGCAGGAUGAAGGCCCUCGGGUUGUAAACUGCUUUUGUACAGAACGAAAAGGUUUCUACUAAUACUAGGAGCUCAUGACGGUACUGUAAGAAUAAGCACCGGCUAACUACGUGCCAGCAGCCGCAGUAA